UUUCCGUAGGUGAACCUGCGGAAGGAUCAUUAACGAAUGUCUUUUGACAAACACCUGUGAACUAAUAUCUUGCUUCGGUUGGCGCAAGCCAGCCGGUAUCAAAACCUUUUAAUUUGUUGUCUGACUGAAGAUUAAUAAUCAAAACUUUCAACAACGGAUCUCUUGGUUCUCGCAUCGAUGAGGAACGCAGC
rnacentral:misc_RNA from 1 species